UGGGGAAUAUUGCACAAUGGGCGAAAGCCUGAUGCAGCAACGCCGCGUGAGCGAUGAAGGCCUUCGGGUCGUAAAGCUCUGUCCUCAAGGAAGAUAAUGACGGUACUUGAGGAGGAAGCCCCGGCUAACUACGUGCCAGCAGCCGCGGUAAUACGUAGGGGGCUAGCGUUAUCCGGAUUUACUGGGCGUAAAGGGUGCGUAGGCGGUCUUUUAAGUCAGGAGUGAAAGGCUACGGCUCAACCGUAGUAAGCUCUUGAAACUGGAGGACUUGAGUGCAGGAGAGGAGAGUGGAAUUCCUAGUGUAGCGGUGAAAUGCGUAGAUAUGAGGAGGAACACAAGUAGCGAAGGGGGCUCUCUGGACUGUAACUGACGCCGGGGCACGAAAGUGUGGGGAGCAAACA
rnacentral:rRNA from 1 species